GGCGAACGCUGGCGGCGUGCUUAACACAUGCAAGUCGAACGGGAAGGCCCUGCUUUUGUGGGGUGCUCGAGUGGCGAACGGGUGAGUAACACGUGAGUAACCUGCCCUUGACUUUGGGAUAACUUCAGGAAACUGGGGCUAAUACCGGAUAGGAGCUCCUGCUGCAUGGUGGGGGUUGGAAAGUUUCGGCGGUUGGGGAUGGACUCGCGGCUUAUCAGCUUGUUGGUGGGGUAGUGGCUUACCAAGGCUUUGACGGGUAGCCGGCCUGAGAGGGUGACCGGCCACAUUGGGACUGAGAUACGGCCCAGACUCCUACGGGAGGCAGCAGUGGGGAAUAUUGCACAAUGGGCGGAAGCCUGAUGCAGCAACGCCGCGUGCGGGAUGACGGCCUUCGGGUUGUAAACCGCUUUCGCCUGUGACGAAGCGUGAGUGACGGUAAUGGGUAAAGAAGCACCGGCUAACUACGUG
rnacentral:rRNA from 1 species